AGAGUUGCGGCUCCGAAGCCAGACUUCGUCCUUGUUUAGAAGGGCCUUCGGUGUUGCACUCUUUCGGCAACAAAACUCGCAGUACCAGCGCCGCAGAGGUGAAGCCCUCGCACUGUUGCUUGGUUAGGAGCUCAACAGCGACGCGAUUGCGGCGCAUUGUGGCGUGAUGUAGUGCUUCGGUAGUGGAGGCUCGAAGGACGAGGACGACGCGGGGACAAUGAGCAGCCAGGUCCGGGCCAUUGGAUUCCUAACGGCCGUGCUGGUCGUCACCGGCUCGGGCAUUUUCUCUGUGCACUCCAUGCAAAAGGAGGAGCGAGCGAAUCUUCACCAGGGCGUUAUUCGCGAUCAAGCCUUGAUGGCUCUCAAGGAGCAGCAGCGCAGAGAGCACGAAGCCAAAACCUCUCUCCUGUCUGUCCAGCGCUAAUUUGCGAGAGAAUUGAGUUUUAUCCCUCCGUGCGCCUCCUUUGUACGCUUCAUUUCCUCCCUUAUUGCAAAAUUUCGUGGUGUAAGAAGUUAAGUUGUGAGAGAGUGAAGCGCACGCUAUGUUGCGCAGAAAAUUGUCAUAGAGCAUCCGUUCGUCUUAUCAUAUGGCAAUACCCAAGAGUCUGUCAGAGAACCCAUGCGGAGAGAAGUAGGUUGAAUUCUAGCGCAUCCAGCGCUAAUUUGUGAUUGCGCAAUCACGGUUUCUGUAAAUUUUGCAGUAUCAAUCUUGUAUUGAGAUUCAGAAAUUCACAAUGGUUAGUUCCUCGGAACAGUCGACCUCUGCCUUGUUUCGUGCUUCACCCCUCUUUUGGCUCUCUCUUCCUCUCGCUUCUUUGUAUUUUAUCUGAAUUCUAGGUCUUUCUACCUUUUCGAGAAGCCUAGUAAUUACAGGUUGAUUUUACCAUUCACAAGCUUGAAUUUCCAGGAGUUUUGUGCUUCUAAAUAAUGCGCUAAUUAUAUGUGCUGGAGGCCUAAUCAGCAGCAUUUUGAAACAAUACUGCGCUAUGGAAUGAAAUGUGUUGUCAUUUGUCGAUGCUUGAAUAAGUAAAACUUUAUUGCUCAACGAUCACAGUAUACACAAAUUGGUCUUGCGGAGUAUCUUGACGUGCACUUAAGCACGGUUCAAACUCCCCUUUCAGGAAAUACUAGCAGACAUAUGAGGAUUCUGACCUGAUUCGUCGAGUUUCUGAUAAUCCUCCAGCCAUGCAGUUCGCCAAGCUUGAUGACUUUCUAAUGUUUAGGAAUUAGGUGUGCAAGACAAGCCCUUCCAUUUUGUAUAUGGACUCCUCGAUAUGCCCUAGUCCCUAGUCAUUGUACACUGGUGCUUAGACGAUGUCGUAAGAAUUGCAACGACAAUUCUGAGGCUGAUUUGGACGUUCAAGUUGACAGCUCCAUGCUCUUGAAGAAUGUACAGACGAUCUGAGGGAGCGAUGUCUACAUUUCCUUGAGGCGUGCUGGGAGUGUACAUUUAAUGUUGCGCUCUGGGAGAUAGGAACGUACAAGGAGAUCCUUCGUUCACAGGUGCUCCAGAAUUUGUACUAUGCCUCCCGGAUUGUGCGUUCAGUAAUCAAGUGUUUCUUUGUCUUCAUUUUAAGAGUUCAAUCGAAUUCUGCCUACAAAAAUAUUGUACACGUUCUUUUAGUAUGCUUAAGCAAACUUUCGAGUUCUGCCUUACUAGUACAUAGUUCUAAGGGAGUUUUAAAGUAGUCAAAAAUAUAAUGUCGAUAGCAGUUGUUUUAUUGUGGCAUCAAAGUUUGCGCAUUAUUAUUGUGUCAAUUCAGAGAUAAGCAAUUUGUUGGUUGAAAAAGAAAGGCAGCCGAUAUGUUUUGUAUCUGUUGCUCGGUUUUGGAGUCUAACCUUGCACGGUUGACUUCUGUAUGUUGUUGCCAUGGCGGCCUUUUGAAUACGUAAUGAUAGUAAAGAGUAAAAAGGCCAUCGUUUGUUCACGUAGGGGCUGGCUCUGCUGAAAUACAAAGUGUUCAGAUCUUGCUUUUAACCUUCA